rnacentral:rRNA from 1 species
AAUGAACGUUGGCGGCGUGGAUUAGGCAUGCAAGUCGAGCGAGAAGUGUAGCAAUACACGGAAAGCGGCGAAGGGGAUAGUAACACGUAGGUACCUACCCCCGGGCCUGGGAUAGCGGCGGGAAACUGCCAUUAAUACCAGAUAACGUCCCCGGACCAAAGGUGUGAUUCCGUCUGGGGAGGGGCCUGCGUCCUAUCAGCUAGUUGGUGAGGUAAUGGCCCACCAAGGCUAUGACGGGUAGCGGGUGUGAGAGCACGACCCGCAUCACUGGGACUGAGACACUGCCCAGACACCUACGGGUGGCUGCAGUCGAGAAUCUUCCGCAAUGGGCGCAAGCCCGACGGAGCGACGCCGCGUGCGGGAUGAAGGCCUUCGGGUUGUAAACCGCUGUCAGUGGGGAGGAAAUGCAUGGGGGUUCUCCCCUGUGUUUGACCGAUCCGCAGAGGAAGCACAGGCUAAGUUCGUGCCAGCAGCAGCCGCGGUAA